rnacentral:rRNA from 2 species
UGGGGAAUAUUGCACAAUGGAGGGAACUCUGAUGCAGCGACGCCGCGUGAACGAAGAAGGCUUUCGAGUCGUAAAGUUCUUUUAUAUGGGAAGAUAAUGACGGUACCAUAAGAAAAAGCCCCGGCUAACUACGUGCCAGCAGCCGCGGUAAUACGUAGGGGGCUAGCGUUGUCCGGAAUCACUGGGCGUAAAGGGUUCGCAGGCGGAAAUGCAAGUCAGGUGUAAAAGGCAGUAGCUUAACUACUGUAAGCAUUUGAAACUGCAUAUCUUGAGAAGAGUAGAGGUAAGUGGAAUUUUUAGUGUAGCGGUGAAAUGCGUAGAUAUUAAAAAGAAUACCGGUGGCGAAGGCGACUUACUGGGCUCGUUCUGACGCUGAGGAACGAAAGCGUGGGUAGCAAACAGG